CUUGGUCAUUUAGAGGAAGUAAAAGUCGUAACAAGGUCUCCGUUGGUGAACCAGCGGAGGGAUCAUUACAGAGUUGUAAAACUCCCAAACCCAUGUGAACAUACCUGUUGCCUCGGUGGCCUACCCGGUAGCUACCCUGUAGCUACCCUGUAGUCCGCCGACGGAACUUAAAACUCUUGUUUUCAAUUGUCAUUUCUGAGAAUAAAACAAAUAAGUUAAAACUUUCAACAACGGAUCUCUUGGUUCUGGCAUCGAUGAAGAACGCAGCGAAAUGCGAUAAGUAAUGUGAAUUGCAGAAUUCAGUGAAUCAUCGAAUCUUUGAACGCACAUUGCGCCCAUUAGUAUUCUAGUGGGCAUGCCUGUUCGAGCGUCAUUAAUUCCACUUAAGCCUCGCUUAGUGUUGGGAGACUGCUUUAGCGGAGCUACCCUGUAGCUACCCUGCAGCUCCUCAAAGACAGCGGCGGAGUUGUGAUAUCCUCUGAGCUUAGUAAUUUAUUCUAGCUUUCGAGUGUACCACUUCCCCCGCCGUUAAACCACCAAAUUUUAAUGGUUGACCUCGGAUCAGGUAGGAAUACCCGCUGAACUUAAGCAUAUCAAUAAGCGGAGGAAAAGAAACCAACAGGGAUUGCCCUAGUAACGGCGAGUGAAGCGGCAACAGCUCAAAUUUGAAAUCUGGCCUUUGGUCCGAGUUGUAAUUUGUAGAGGAUGCUUUUGGUGCGGUGCCUUCCGAGUUCCCUGGAACGGGACGCCUUAGAGGGUGAGAGCCCCGUACGGUUGGACGCCUAGCCUCUGUAAAGCUCCUUCGACGAGUCGAGUUGUUUGGGAAU
rnacentral:sRNA from 1 species